rnacentral:rRNA from 1 species
CCAGGAUGUUGGCUUAGAAGCAGCCAUCAUUUAAAGAAAGCGUAAUAGCUCACUGGUCGAGUCGGCCUGCGCGGAAGAUGUAACGGGGCUAAACCAUGCACCGAAGCUGCGGCAGCGAACGUAUCACCCAAGACAACUUUACGGAGUUGACGAUUGACGGAGCGAAGCGACGUCAAAGCGUUCAUUAAAGUCGAGUUGGCUUAGGGAUACGUUCGUUGGGUAGGGGAGCGUUCUGUAAGCCUGUGAAGGUGUGUCGUGAGGCAUGCUGGAGGUAUCAGAAGUGCGAAUGCUGACAUAAGUAACGAUAAAGCGGGUGAAAAGCCCGCUCGCCGGAAGACCAAGGGUUCCUGUCCAACGUUAAUCGGGGCAGGGUGAGUCGACCCCUAAGGCUAGGCUG